rnacentral:rRNA from 1 species
UGGGGAAUAUUGGACAAUGGGCGAAAGCCUGAUCCAGCCAUGCCGCGUGUGUGAAGAAGGUCUUCGGAUUGUAAAGCACUUUAAGUUGGGAGGAAGGGCAGUAAGCGAAUACCUUGCUGUUUUGACGUUACCGACAGAAUAAGCACCGGCUAACUCUGUGCCAGCAGCCGCGGUAAUACAGAGGGUGCAAGCGUUAAUCGGAAUUACUGGGCGUAAAGCGCGCGUAGGUGGUUCGUUAAGUUGAAUGUGAAAGCCCCGGGCUCAACCUGGGAACUGCAUCCAAAACUGGCGGGCUAGAGUAGGGCAGAGGGUGGUGGAAUUUCCUGUGUAGCGGUGAAAUGCGUAGAUAUAGGAAGGAACACCAGUGGCGAAGGCGACGACCUGGGAUCAUACUGACACUGAGGUGCGAAAGCGUGGGGAGCAAACAGG